GGGCUGGAAUCUCUCGGGGUUACAGCCUUGCUGAAUUAUUCACCCUUGUCUUUUGCGUACUUCUUGUUUCCUUGGUGGGUUCGCCCACCACUAGGACAAACAUAAACCUUUUGUAAUUGCAAUCAGCGUCAGUAACAAAUUAAUAAUUACAACUUUCAACAACGGAUCUCUUGGUUCUGGCAUCGAUGAAGAACGCAGCGAAAUGCGAUAAGUAGUGUGAAUUGCAGAAUUCAGUGAAUCAUCGAAUCUUUGAACGCACAUUGCGCCCUUUGGUAUUCCAAAGGGCAUGCCUGUUCGAGCGUCAUUUGUACCCUCAAGCUUUGCUUGGUGUUGGGCGUCUUGUCUCUAGCUUUGCUGGAGACUCGCCUUAAAGUAAUUGGCAGCCGGCCUACUGGUUUCGGAGCGCAGCACAAGUCGCACUCUCUAUCAGCAAAGGUCUAGCAUCCAUUAAGCCUUUUUUCAACUUUUGACCUCGGAUCAGGUAGGGAUACCCGCUGAACUUAAGCAU
rnacentral:rRNA from 1 species